rnacentral:lncRNA from 1 species
GAUCUUCAGAGGAGCUGGGGUGACGUUGCAUGCGAUCCUGGGAGGAGAGAGCCAGCGUUCACAGUGAAGGCUCACAGGGUCCCCACCUCAAGUGUGCCUCUCCUUCACGACUACCAGUGACCUUCAAACUGACAACUGCUAAGGAUGUUGAAAAAUGGUCAUCACCAACUCGGGAACUCAGUGGCUGCAUCAAUGUGGAUGGGGAAAAUAUCUCGGUUUCAUUCAUCUUUGCCAGUGUCUCCUUCAGCAACAUACAUCCCAACAACCACAUUGCAGUCGUCUCUGGGAGCAACGUAGCUAUUUUCAGAUCUGUUACAAGUUGUGUCAGGUGGUUGAAAAUGUCAUUAAACCCAUUACUGCUUCAAAAUUACAGUCCUUAUUGAAACCUGCUCCUAGACCUUGUUAUUGUGUUAAUAAACAAGGAUUCCUAGAACCAUAGACCAU